rnacentral:snRNA from 1 species
GUGCUUGCCUCGGAAGCACAUAUACUAAAAUUGGAAUGAUACAGAGAAGAUUAGCAUGGCCCCUGUGCAAAGAUGACAUACAAAUUUGUGAAGCAUUCCAUAGUUUU